CCUACGGGAGGCAGCAGUGAGGAAUAUUGGUCAAUGGGCGGGAGCCUGAACCAGCCAAGUCGCGUGAGGGAAGACGGUCCUAUGGAUUGUAAACCUCUUUAGGCGGGGAGCAAUGCCGGGCACGCGUGCCCGGAGGGAGAGUACCCGCAGAAUAAGCAUCGGCUAACUCCGUGCCAGCAGCCGCGGUAAUACGGAGGAUGCGAGCGUUAUCCGGAUGUAUUGGGUUUAAAGGGUGCGUAGGCGGAUUUUUAAGUCAGCGGUAAAAUGUCCGGGCUCAACCCGGGCCGGCCGUUGAAACUGGGGAUCUUGAGUGGGCGAGAAGUAUGCGGAAUGCGUGGUGUAGCGGUGAAAUGCAUAGAUAUCACGCAGAACUCCGAGUGCGAAGGCAGCAUACCGGCGCCCGACUGACGCUGAGGCACGAAAGCGUGGGGAUCGAACAGGAUUAGAUACCCCAGUAGUC
rnacentral:rRNA from 1 species